rnacentral:rRNA from 1 species
GAGCGCCCCGCAAGGGGAGCGGCAGACGGGAGAGUAACACGUGGGAACGUACCCUUCAGUUCGGAACAACCCAGGGAAACUUGGGCUAAUACCGGAUACGUCCGUAAGGAGAAAGAUUUAUCGCUGAAGGAUCGGCCCGCGUCUGAUUAGCUUGUUGGUGAGGUAACGGCUCACCAAGGCGACGAUCAGUAGCUGGUCUGAGAGGAUGAUCAGCCUCACUGGGACUGAGACACGGCCCAGACUCCUACGGGAGGCAGCAGUGGGGAAUAUUGGACAAUGGGCGCAAGCCUGAUCCAGCCAUGCCGCGUGGAUGAUGAAGGCCCUAGGGUUGUAAAGUCCUUUCGGCGGGGAAGAUAAUGACGGUACCCGCAGAAGAAGCCCCGGCUAACUUCGUG